GAGGCAGCAGUGGGGAAUCUUGCACAAUGCGCGAAAGCGUGAUGCAGCAACGCCGCGUGGGGGAAGAAGGCCUUCGGGUUGUAAACCCCUUUCAGUUGGGACGAAGCUUCGCCGGUGAACAGCGGGCCGGAGUGACGGUACCUUCAGAAGAAGCCCCGGCUAACUACGUGCCAGCAGCCGCGGUAAUACGUAGGGGGCAAGCGUUGUCCGGAAUCAUUGGGCGUAAAGCGCGUGUAGGCGGUUCGGUAAGUCUGCUGUGAAAGUCCAGGGCUCAACCCUGGGAAGCCGGUGGAUACUGUCGGACUAGAGUACGGAAGAGGCGAGUGGAAUUCCCGGUGUAGCGGUGAAAUGCGCAGAUAUCGGGAGGAACACCAAUUGCGGAGGCAGCUCGCUGGGACGUCACUGACGCUGAGACGCGAAAGCGUGGGGAGCAAACAGGAUUAGAUACCCUGGUAGUCCACGCCGUAAACGAUGGGCACUAGGUGUGGGGGGUGUCGACUCCCUCCGUGCCGAAGCUAACGCAUUAAGUGCCCCGCCUGGGGA
rnacentral:rRNA from 1 species